CACUGACCUAGGUGAUGAAUGUACAACAACAGACACACAGGUGACAAAGUUGGAGUAUUAUUCAGACAGAUGUUUCAGAGACAUUGGCACAGAGAAGAGUGGUAGGAGAAUGGCAUCAUCCAGCCAUGUAGGUGAGCUGAACUGAAGGGAGCUACACUCCAGCAGUCAGCACACAUGUUGCAGGAAGAGUUAUUGCUGGGAUCCGGUCAUUGGACGCAUCAGUUUGCAAACAGCAGUUCAUCAGCAGCUAUCGUAUGAGCAGUGGGCUCUCCAGCUAGAAUGUUCAAGGGGAUAGCAGAUGACAUCUGUCAAUAAUGCCUCAGAAGAGAUUCCUCUAUCAGGAAGAGACAACUGGUUACCGAACUAAGUCAAAGCCUCAGGUCAAGUACAAGUUCAUCUAAAUAGGAG
rnacentral:lncRNA from 1 species